AUACUCUGUUAGUGGCCAUUUUCUUUUGCUCUUGUUUAGUGCAAACACACGAGACCGUUUCUACACCCCAGGCUUCGCAAAACCAGUAGCUACGGAUUUGUUUUGAAUGCGCAUGUGCAUGCGUGCCCGCUGCCUAUGCGCCUGCGUGCCUGCCCGCGGCCGCUGCGUAUGUGCCUGCGACAGCAGGUCUCUGCUGCUGCUGCUAUUCACUUCAGUCAUGUCCGACUCUGUGCGACCCGAUAGACGGCAGCCCACCAGGCUCCCCUGUCCCUGGGAUUCUCCAGAAGCCACCACCUGUAGGUUCUCUGAAGGGAGGCAACAGGUUGGUGCUAGAUGACGACCUUUGGGGGAAUAGAAGAGAGGCGUCAGCCAGACCGUGCCUGUGUGACGGGGCUCCUGGAUCUGAAGGCCGGGCUCCAGGGGUUGUGGUGCCCGCGCCAGCUCCUGGCACAGUGAACACGUUCCGCCUGACGGGAAGGCAGACGCGGGGAAGGAGGUGAGGUGACGGUCGCUGCGACAGCCGGGGCUGUAACCAGCGAGGAGACAGACACACAUUGGCCCGUGUGCUUCCCUCAGUCCACCCCUGUACCCUGUCCUCGGUGGUUCUUACAGAAUCCUGUGUGGGGUUUGACAGAGUGUUGGGGAUACCAACGCAAACAAGACAAGGUGCCCGACCCCAAAACGCCGACGAGAUGAGCCACACAGGAGGAGCGCCUCUGCGUCUAUGGAGCCAGGAGAGACUGCGUUGAGAGGACAGCUGUCGGGAGAGCUCUAAAGACAGGCCGCCAGAAUCCUCCAUCCAUGGGAUUUUCCAGGCAAGAGUACUGGAGUGGGGUGCCAUUGCCUUCUCCGACU
ensembl:lncRNA